rnacentral:lncRNA from 1 species
CAGGCAACGGCCAAUGGCUUCUACAAUCCCUUUCAUCCUGGACAGUCCAGUGUUGUGAUACCCUGACACCAAGACCCUUCCUUGGUUGUCUGGCACAGUGCUGCCACAUACCAUCUCAGGAACUUUCAUUUAUUUCCCUUUGUGUCCAAACAUCAGAAAGGCUUUCUGAGUUGCUUGCCUUCCCUAGGCUAAACUUCUCCAUUGGAUCAAUAGCAGGUGGUCAACAAAGACAAAAACACCAUCUUCAGAAUGACUCAGAUCAUCCUCUUGGGCAGCCCUUUUUGGAUAUCUCUAUGAAAUUCUGCAGCUGAAAGCUGACACGCAUAAUUAUUUCCUGUUAGAUACUGAAGAAAAAAAAAAGCCCAGGAGAUAUUGUCGAGACUGUUUCUGGGGUGUGAUUGGGGGAUAGGAGAUGACCAUCCAGACCCACAGGAAAUGGGCAUUCUUGCUGAAAGUCAUGAAAGCAACUGAUUAUCUGCUAAGUGGAACUCCAGGGAGCAUGUUCAUCCUUACAUCUUACAGAGGAGGCGACUUUGCCAUCCAAUUAGUCCUAUUACCUUCUCACUGGAUCACAAAGGCAUUUAUGGGAAUAAGUCAUUUUUUAAAGGAAGAGAGAAGUGCAUUUAACAUGAAUAGUUGUCUAAUAGCAUCAUUUCCCCAUUUCUCCUUCCCAACAAAGAACCCCAGGUAGCCUUUGUGCCUGGAGGUGCGGUGGUUAUUUCAUUCACAGUUCCAAAGAUAGGGCUGACUGGCCUGGGC